UUACUAAACCUAAUUGAUCAAACUCAUAGUGAGAUCAAGCAAAUUCACCCAGGCAGACGAAUUUUUGUUUAGGAUUUGUCAUGAAUUUGCUACCUACCAUGCAGAAAACAUUGUGAAAUUCUGAUUCUUCCAACGCUGCUGUCCAUGCUCCUUCGCAUCCAAGUAGAACAAGCAAUUGGCGUUACUCUGCAACCAUAGACACAGAAGUGAUUCUAGCUCGAGGUUGAGUGUACACGAUUGCAUUCGCAAACACUGCUUCAAAAGCUUAUCAAGCGCUAAAUAGUGGAUUUAUCUGCAUGACUUGGGAAGCAUUCUGAUGAAUGUAAUUCCACGUUUCCGAAUGUGGUUGAGACAGCUAACCCUUUGCAAAGAGGAUGUCUCUGUCAUAACAUCACGAUGAAAUACAUAGUUUAUCAAAAUGUCAAAUGAACAUAGAACAUGGGACUUAGAAUCACAUAUACAUACAUAACACAAAUGUGUAGUUUUACUGUAACAGUGUUACAGUUGCUGUCAUUAGAAAAAGAGAGCGAGUAGUGCAUAGUGUGCGGUACAUAUAUUGUGAAGAGUGGACAAUCUGUUGUCCGUUCAUUCACAGAGUCUCAACCUAUUAGGUAAUGAAGAACAUGAGGGUGACUAGAGCAGGACGACUUUCCCUGAGACGUGAGUAUCGAGGUGCCUCAGCCGAAAGUGGACACAUCUUCAGUUGGUGCUGGAUUAGUAGAUGAGAAGCGUAGCUUUUAUGCCGUUCGUUGUGGACGUCGGCCUGGGAUAUAUGUAGAUUGGUUAGAUUGCGAACAACAGGUGAAGGGUUAUAAGGGAGCCGUUCACCGAAAGUUCAGAAUUGAGAGUGAGGCAGAGCAAUUUGUGUUGGGGAUGUAGAACUUUGUACUCCUCUAAUUUUCUGUCAAUAAAUCGACUGCCGGUAUUCCCAGUUCUGUGCGGAGUUUUGUGAACCUCCGUUUUUCCA